rnacentral:rRNA from 1 species
AACGAACGCUGGCGGCAGGCUUAACACAUGCAAGUCGAACGAAGGCUUCGGCCUUAGUGGCGCACGGGUGAGUAACACGUGGGAAUAUGCCUUUCGGUGGGGAAUAACGUUGGGAAACUGACGCUAAUACCGCAUACGCCCUUCGGGGGAAAGAUUUAUCGCCGAAAGAUUAGCCCGCGUCCGAUUAGCUAGUUGGUGGGGUAACGGCCUACCAAGGCGACGAUCGGUAGCUGGUCUGAGAGGAUGAUCAGCCACACUGGGACUGAGACACGGCCCAGACUCCUACGGGAGGCAGCAGUGGGGAAUAUUGGACAAUGGGCGCAAGCCUGAUCCAGCCAUGCCGCGUGAGUGAUGAAGGCCUUCGGGUUGUAAAGCUCUUUCGACGGGGACGAUGAUGACGGUACCCGUAGAAGAAGCCCCGGCUAACUUCGUGCCAGCAGCCGCCGUAAUAC